GAUGAACGCUAGCGGCAGGCUUAAUACAUGCAAGUCGUGGGGCAGCAGGUUUGUAGCAAUACAGAUGCUGGCGACCGGCAAACGGGUGCGGAACACGUACAGAACCUUCCUUUGAGCGGGGAAUAGCCCAGAGAAAUUUGGAUUAAUACCCCAUAGUAUAAUGAAGUGGCAUCACUUUAUUAUUAAAGAUUUAUCACUCGAAGAUGGCUGUGCGGCUGAUUAGGUAGUUGGCGGGGUAAAGGCCCACCAAGCCUGCGAUCAGUAACUGGUGUGAGAGCACGACCAGUCACACGGGCACUGAGACACGGGCCCGACUCCUACGGGAGGCAGCAGUAAGGAAUAUUGGUCAAUGGAGGCAACUCUGAACCAGCCAUGCCGCGUGGAGGAUGAAGGUCCUCUGGAUUGUAAACUUCUUUUAUAUGGGACGAAAAAGGCUUUUCUAAGUCGUCUGACGGUACCAUAUGAAUAAGCACCGGCUAACUCCGUGCCAGC
rnacentral:rRNA from 1 species